GCGGCUAUGGCGGAAUUGGCAGACGCGGCGGGUUUAGGUCCCGUUGGGCAACCGUGCAGGUUCGAGUCCUGUUAGCCGCA
rnacentral:tRNA from 1 species